AGGGUUUGAUUCUGGCUCAGGACGAACGCUGGCGGCAUGCUUAACACAUGCAAGUCGAACGGACUGAUUCCCUUCGGGGAUGAAAGUUAGUGGCGAACGGGUGAGUAAUGUAUGAGCAACCUGCCUCUGUCAACGGGAUAACAGUUGGAAACGACUGAUAAUACGGUAUAUGACCACGGCACCGCAUGGUGCUGCGGUAAAAGAUUUUAUCGGACAGAGAUGGGCUCAUAUCCCAUUAGGUAGUUGGUGAGAUAACAGCCCACCAAGCCGACGAUGGGUAGCCGAGCUGAGAGGCUGAUCGGCCACAUUGGGACUGAAACACGGCCCAG
rnacentral:rRNA from 1 species